GACGAACGCUGGCGGCGUGCUUAACACAUGCAAGUCGAACGGUAAGGCCCCUUCGGGGGUACACGCGUGGCGAACGGGUGCGUAACACGUGAGCAACCUGCCCUUGACUCUGGAAUAACAGCUGGAAACAGCUGCUAAUACUGGCAAUUCAUCGUCUCCUUCCUGGGGGGGGGUGGAAAGCUGCGGCGGUCAGGGAUGGGCUCGCGGCCAAUCAGCUUGUUGGUGGGGUAAUGGCUCACCAAGGCUUCGACGGGUAGCCGGCCUGAGAGGGGGGCCGGCCACACUGGGCCUGAGGUACGGCGCAGACUCCUACGGUAGACAGCAGUGGGGAAUAUUGCACAAUGGGCGCAAGCCUGAUGCAGCAACGCCGCGUGCGGGAUGACGGCCUUCGGGUUGUAAACCGCUUUCAGUAGGGACGAAGGGUGACUGACGGUACCUACAGAAGAAGGACCGGCUAACUACGUG
rnacentral:rRNA from 1 species